AGGGCUUUGGUUAUUGGGCUUUCAUUUAAUUUAAACCAAAGACAAUUAGGAUUUUAAAAUAAACCAAUUUCAAUUGGAUUAGGAUUAGAAUUAGAAUUAAACCAUCCUGGUUUACUUCUAGGGUUUCUGUUUGUCGAUUUCUUUAAGAACAUGGGGGGGGGGAGGCAGCUUUGUUUUCUCAACUUUCAAUCUAAGAAUUAUUCAGUCAACUUUGUUGUCUUGUCUCUAGCUUUCUCUGUUCAGCUCAAGAACAUUGAUCUCACUUAAAGGAAGGAAUUCCUGUGAAUCCCAUCUUAGACAAUACAAGGUGAUCUUGUGUCUUUGAGUAGCAAACCAUCUCUGUUGCCAUUCCAUAGCUUCAGAGAGACGUCCAUAGUCCAGCAGAGUGCUAGUAGCCUCCAAGGACAUCCCUAUUUCGUUCCCCUUCAAGUGAUCCAGGAGCAGAAGCCAUACCCAGGCUGCACCAAGUGGUAUCAGAGCCACUUGAAGGUUAGGGUUUGCGAUUUUGACUACUCAGAUCAUUCAUUCCAUCAAACACUUCUCUUAUCUUUCUAUCUGUUGUAAGCCAGCUGAGCCAACCCUGC
rnacentral:lncRNA from 1 species